CACAACAAACUGGUCAACAAACAAGUAGUCAAUGCACGUGCGUGCCGGGCAUCCUGAGCUGAGCUGAGUACAUAAUACAAUAGAGUUUUGUUUGAAUCUCAAAAUGACUCAUGAUCAUCAUGAUCAUACAAUACAUUUUCAUAGUCACAUCACUGCAGCUUAACCUCGAACUUGAGUGAUCAAAGCCAAGGACAUCAUCUGCCACUGGUCAAGCAGAUGAGCUAAACAGCCUAAACUAUGAAGCCUUGAAGCCUCGGAAAACCUUCAAGCUCUGCCAGCUUCUUUCAAGAGCCAUCAGAACUUCGCCCUCUUUGCCAAACUCACCGCCUGUCCUCGUCAGAAUGAGGAGCUGUCGGACAGCCUCCGGUUUGUCAUCGUACCUAAAGAAGGAGUGGACGUCGUCAUCCUCAAUGAUCACGAAGGGGAAUUCAUGUUCAUGCCUGCCACUGACUACAUUGGAAUCAUAACUUUCCUUUACCGUGUGGAAGAUGAUGAAGGUCGCAGUGAACCGAGUACCGUCACCAUCAACGUACAACCAAAGAGCGCCUCACCUUCAAUCAACGUAAACUCACACGUCAUCGGUCUGGAAGACAGCGAGACCGAACUGGACAUCCAGAUCGAUGAUGACCAGAAUGAGCGGUGGAAUGACCUUGCUGUCGCCCUCUGUAGUUGUGCCAUUGAUGUGACUUGCGACAGAGAUGAUGGUUGUCAUUGUCAUCUGAGUCUCCCCGAUGGUUGGCAGAUAUUCAGCGGCGAUCGUCAGCUGACCCUUGAAGAACUGAAGUCCUUGAGCCCCAACGAUGCCAGCAACUUGGUCUUGAAAGUCGCUCCAUCGUCUGCUGCCCAGCACUGCCUAGACGUCCAUGUCCUUGACCCUAACAACGAAGCCAACCCAUCAGUGAUCAAGAAGCCGCUCAAUAUCCACAUCCAUCCUCUCAGCACCAUCAUCGCGAAAGCGCCCUCUGUUGUCUCGGAAGAUAGACCCCAGAGACCUCCAUCCAACAUCCGGCAGCCUGUGCAUGUGAACCUUACCACCAGUCAGGGAAGGCCUGUUGUCUUCCACGAUCUCAUCGUGAAAGAUAUUGAUGAGGAAAUCAAGGGCACUUACAUGGUGACGGUUCGUCUUGACCAAGGGGGCGUUCUUUGGGUCAGGCAGGAUCUGAGACAGGACGUGGUAUUUCUUCCUCUAACCAAAGAAAUUCACUCAGAUGACGUAUCACGUGAUAAAGUGUAUGAGCUUCUUGAUCGCUUUGCUACGUUUGAGUCUAGUGAGAGACCCCUUGAUCUGGAGAAUUGGAACAACGGUGUCAAACUGCUGACGUUUAUCGGAACUUUGGAGGGUGUGAAUGAAGUCCUUUCAACUAUGACCUUUGUACCCUGGUGUCCUUCGUGGCCUGCUCCACCGUCCUGGCCGAUACCAGCAAAGUGCUGGAUGAAUGAACCCCUCUCCCCUGUCUCAGAGGAUCCCCUUCGUCCUACAAUCUGGCCAGAGUGGUACCCUCGCUUCUGGUACCCGUUCCUCUCGACCCACUGGUCCUGGUGGCCCCGUGUGUUACCCCCAUGGUGGAUGUCUACACCCUGCUCUAACUGGACCAGUAAUGUCACCCUGACGGUCCAGGAGUUCCCACCCCCUCAAACCUGCAACGAGCCCGGUGACAAGGCCGUGUGGUCUGCUAGCAUCUCGGUCAACGCCAGUGACAAGAUGCCCAAGAGCCUUACUACAUCCAAUCACUUCAUCUACUUCAAGCCAGCAUCCCGAGUUGUCAACAUUGAUACAAUCAACAUGAGAUCACCUCUGUAUAAUCUGGGAGAGAACGUCACAAUCAACGUGACUACUUCUGAAUCCAACUAUGCCACUGUUGAUUUUGCUUCUUCCGGUCUGAACUCUACUCGUUGUCAGACGCUUGAGAAGUGCAAUGAACAGCUUGCCAACAUCAAGGUGACCUUCAAAGAUGGUGUCCAAGAUGUCUGCCUUGUUUCUGUGCAGGUGAACAUGUACAAAGAGAACACCUCACUGCUUCUAGAUACCCUUAGUGUCUGGGCCGUCAACACCACGCAACGGUGUGCGGAUAUCUAUUCUACUCAUCCAACCUUUGAGCUGACUCCAAGAAAUCUCGAUGUGAGACAAGGUUCCACUGACAACCCUCUAAACAUCAUCUCCAAUCUGGACACAGAGGAUAUCAGAUUGUUGCCUGGGAUCCUUCAUGUCAAGUUGUACGCAGAACACGGCAUCAUUACCAUGAGGGUUCCCGACAGUCUGCGCAUCUACUCCGAUCACAUGGGACAACACGAAGGCAUCGCUUCCUACCUGUGCAUCGCUGGGCCCGUUCCCAUUGUGCUGGAAGCAUUGGACGCAGCACGCUUCACCCCUUUCAAACCCCUGUACGGAGAGACCGUGGUGACUGUGGACUAUAGGAUGCCUUCUACCGCGUCUCAACUGCUCCAUGGGGAAGUUCAACCAUUCCGACGCUCUCACAUCACCAUCGAGACGUAUGGGGGUAUAAUGCCCUACAUGCCGGUGCUCGUUCAGCCCAAAGAGAUGUGCGUAUCGGAGUCCGAUACUCUGUACAUCAACCAGACUGCAGUCUUAAGAAGAUUCGACAAGGAUGAAUUCAUAGAGAUGGCUGUUUCAUCAGAUAUCGGUUCCCUGCACCUUGAUACCAGUCUCAAAUCAAUGUAUGAUUGUCCCUCCACCCAAGAUGUCUCCCCACAAGAUCAAGGAGGUGUUCAGUGCAGAGAUCACAGCGAUUGUCAAGGCAACCUUCUAUGUUGUCCUGACGAUGACAUGCAUAGUCGUAGACUCACCUGUAUGGAAGGGAGAAUGAAGGCUAGAGCAAUGCAGCGGAAUACACAAUCCAUUUACAUGGGAGGAUUAACGGAUGGAAUCAAUGCGAUGGUUAGUCUGAACGCACUCCGCUAUAACCCUGCACCGUGUAUCGAUGGUGAGAGCUAUACUGACAACAUCUUUAUUCAGGCCCCCCUAGCUCGUAAUCCUGAAGGCGAGGAUGUGAGAGCCAACAUUCCUAUCCGUGUUCUGUGCAACGAGCAACCAGAACCAGAGCCUGCUAUGUUCUAUAAUGAGGAUAAUGUUGAGAACUGUGAAUGGAGUGACUGGACAGCCUGUAACACUGAGGGCGGUGUUUGUGGUCUAGGAUCUCAGCAGCGUCGUCAGAUCUGCAACUCGGAGGAUGUGAUUGAGAAUAGGCCAUGCUUGAAUUGCACUUGUGCCCCCGUUCGUACCGUUCUGGUUGACCCCUCCCCCAACAUGGAAGGGUGCAUCUCGCAGGCGGCGGUCCCCAAGUGCCCCGUGGGUUGCUCCGUGGGCAACUAUCACAUGGACGCCGUCUCCUUCCAAUGCCAGCCGACAUCUAGAGAGGAGGAGGGUGGAGACUCCGAGACUGUGGAGACCGAUAUCAAGAUCCACGACUCCUGUAUCUGCAACUACUGCACCUCCCGCCAGUACCAAUGAGAAGUUUUGAUGUGUCAGUCAGUAUAGGGUCGCUUCCUUCCUGAAUUCCAGUGUAAUUUUGAGAGAGUACAUUUGGGAGACAUUGGUUGAAGGAAAUGAAUCGAAUGCCAUCAGAAAAGAAGACAUGUGAAAUCAACUUGAGGCACGCGUCCGAGUACCUCGUACAUCAAUGGCGUAAAAGCCAAACCGCUCUGAUAAUCUCCCUGGUUGGACCAUACCGGAGGCAUAUGUAGAUACUACCAGACACGGGAGGGGCAAGGAAGAUGCGGAAAAGAGGUAAGAGCAUAUUAUAAACUCAUCUUUGGAUGUGUUGAAGAUAGUGUCACUUAACCGUAUACAGGGGAGAUGUUGUAUAUAUUUUUGAUUUAUUGAACCUUCUUAUUUAACAACCCUCGAUUCCAUAAAGAAAGUACUGAGCAGGUUCUUUAGAAUUCCAAAGACAUGCAAGAAUAAAACCUGCCAGAGCUGUAAAAUUUGGGACUAUCACCCCCCCCCCCCCCCGGUCACCCCCUGACGAAAUGUAUAUUGCAUUGGCGAGUUAGUUAAGCUUGUUGGGCAAAUCUCUAUUAACGUUCGUCAGUUUACUUUGGUUUUAAAACAAAUGUAUAAACCGGCGCGAAACGAGCCCCCUCCCACCCUACCAAAAAAUGGAAUGUGUAUGAAAUAUGAAGACUUGAGCCACGUGUAGGUCGCGCGUGUUGCCUGACCCCUGUGACACGAGCUAAAACCGCAGUUAAAACACUGCUCUACCAUUUCCGCCUAAUAAGGUUAUACCUUUCUCUUUCUCACUCUCUCCCUUUCUCUCUCUUCGACUUCGUUACAAUUUCGUCGAUCAAGGCAUAGAAUUGGUGUCGUAUUUCACCCGGGCAAAGCCGUCUCCUAAUGCGUGAUUUCCGUGUGUUGGUGAAAAUGUUACAAUUUACACAAAGUCUUUCCACAUUCAGUGUGGAAAGAAGGUGAAAUAGCUCAUUUUUAUGAGCAGUUGAGCGCUGGAGAGGCAAUGUGACAACGAUAUAACUUUCACCGCAACCAUUGUACUAGAUAAGAAAUGAAUAUUAUUGCAUACGAAUAAAGAUGAAAAAGGUGGGAGUAAACGCACGUAAUAUAGAAAGGGGCAAACCUAAGUAGAGCACCAAGAAAACUAGGCCUACAAUGUAUGAUUUGUUAGUUUUUGAUGAACUUCAGGUUAAUCAACUAACUCCCGUUAAUAUACCGCCAUCUAGAAACAAGUUGAUUCAAUGCCCCCCCCCUCCGUUAUCGUCCACACCCUCAUAUUUUUAUGGGUCUUGAACAAGGAGCUGAUUGGUUGGACACCACAAUAUCGAAACCCAGAACAUCAUACUUCGCCCCAUCACUCUACCACUACCAACCAUCAUCCUUGAAAUGACCGUCUUUUUCGUCACCCCUCCAUGAGUCCCUCAAACUUUAAUAGGCCUUUAUCCCUUAUCAAUGUUUCAUCUGCUUUAAGCGAGAUAACUGAUUGAUCGUGAAUAAGAACAUGACAAGAAGAGCAUCGCCCAGGGUAGGGACAGUCCCAGAUAAAGCAACAUGCCGAGGUUACACGCACCAGGUACGAUUUCCAAAUUUCUAAUUUUAGUUCAUUUAUGUAAACGUGCCACGUCGGGGCUCUUUCUCUUACACUUCGUCCUGGACCAAAAUGAGAACGUUCUGAGAUCUGUAUCGUAUUGAAGAAUGGGGUCCAAACUUAAAUCAGAUCCUGUGACGAUUUUUCACCCAAUUGGUCUCUCUAUAGUUUGCUAAUAACAAGCUGC